rnacentral:rRNA from 1 species
CCUACGGGAGGCAGCAGUGGGGGAUAUUGCACAAUGGGGGGAACCCUGAUGCAGCGACGCCGCGUGGGUGAAGGAGUGCUUCGGCAUGUAAAGCCCUAUCGGCAGGGAAGAAGCAAGACGGUACCUGACUAAGAAGCCCCGGCUAACUACGUGCCAGCAGCCGCGGUAAUACGUAGGGGGCGAGCGUUAUCCGGAUUCACUGGGUGUAAAGGGAGCGUAGACGGCCAUGCAAGCCAGGGGUGAAAGCCCGGGGCCCAACCCCGGGACUGCCCUUGGAACUGUGCGGCUAGAGUGCGGGAGGGGCAAGCGGAAUUCCUGGUGUAGCGGUGAAAUGCGUAGAUAUCAGGAGGAACACCGGCGGCGAAGGCGGCCUGCUGGACUGCGACUGACGUUGAGGCUCGAAAGCGUGGGGAGCGAACAGGAUUAGAUACCCCUGUAGUC